UCCACAAGUUAAGACCCAGCGGCAAGUAGUGCAUGCCCAUUCACCCUCACAUCAACCGCGUCCGCACCGCUGCGUUGACGAGCCACGUCGCUCCUCCUCCUCCUGGUUAGUGCGCUCGCCAUUGCUCAACCUCCCCUCAGUCUAUUAUCACUGCUAGCUUCGAUCCACAGCUUGCUACGUGCUAGUGUCUAGAGACACCCCUAUUCAACCCAAACUAGUAUCUGUUCCUCUUCAUGCUGCACUUCGGGAUCUGAUUUGUGUGCAAGAGCUCGGGUAAUCUGUUGUGCAUCUAGCAGGGCGCGUGCAGGAAGAUGAGUCAUGCGAGUGUUCUGCCAAGGCAUCUCUCGUAUGAUUUGUUAGGAGAAAUUACUAAUGGUUUCUCCAAAGACCGGGAGCUUGGUAGGGGCAGCUACGCCACAGUCUAUCUGGGUGUGAGGUGUUCAACAGGGUGUGAAUAAAGAUGGGAAAAGAUUGCUGUGAAGGCAUGAACCUCUCUGGCCGAGGCGAUCGUUUGUAGUGGUGGGUGUCAUCGCCUUCCCGCCACUGGUGACAGUCCACCUAUAAGCAGCUUUUCAGCAGUGUGUGUCGGCAUGCAUGCCAAGAAAUCAAAGUCAAUCACCUCUCUGGCCGAAGCUCCACCUUACUGCAGUACGGUGUGUCAUCUCUAUGUAAACCACAACCUACAUCUGUUUUAAUUUAAUACGACUAUGUGUGUUUCAACUCUCCCUA